UACAGAGGGUGCAAGCGUUGUUCGGAAUUACUGGGCGUAAAGGGCGCGUAGGCGGCGACUCAAGUUAGAUGUGAAAGUCCUGGGCUUAACCUGGGGACUGCAUUUGAUACUGGGUUGCUUGAAUUCGGGAGAGGAUAGCGGAAUUCCCAGUGUAGAGGUGAAAUUCGUAGAUAUUAGGAGGAACACCAGUGGCGAAAGCGGCUCACUGGCUGAGUACUGACGCUAAGGCGCGAAAGCGUGGGGAGCAAACAGG
rnacentral:rRNA from 1 species